UCCCAAAUUUCUUGUCUUAGAUUUGUCUAGAUAUGGAUGUAUCUAAUACUAAAAUGUGACUUGAUACAUCCGUAUCUAGACAAAUCUAAGACAAGAAUUUUGGGA
rnacentral:pre_miRNA from 1 species